UUCCAGUUGUCAGCGUAUGUCAGGCCAGCCGAGAUCGCGCACCACACAAGCCACAUAUCUUCAAUUUCCCCAAAUAAAUCUCCUCCGCUACAAAUAACCUCAUUAAUUCUCUCUCCAAAAUUGUCAUUAUUCGCUCAUCAUGACCGCCAUUGCAACCGCUGCAGCUCUAUCUCUCCCCAUUUCCUGUUCUACCUCCUCUAAGUUCGCCAACAGAAAGGGCGUUAGAGGAGGGUUUGUAGUAUUUGCAAUAUCAGCCAGUGGGGAGGGAGGUGGGCUCGUGGACAAGAAAAACCCGUGGAGCACUCUAUUUAAUGUCGAAGAGCCUAGGUCUAAAGCUCCACAAAGUAAAGGAAAGUUUUUGGAUGUAAAUGAAGCAUUCGAAGUGGCUAGAUAUGAUAUACAAUAUUGUGAUUGGCGCGCAAGGCAAGAUCUUCUCACAAUCAUGCUCCUACAUGAAAAGGUUGUUGAUGUUUUAAACCCUUUGGCUCGUGAUUACAAAUCCAUUGGAACCUUAAAGAAGGAUCUAGCAGAGUUACAAGAAGAGCUAGCAGAAGCACAUAAACAGAUGCACAUAUCAGAAGCAAGGGUUGGUGCAGCUUUAGAUAAGCUAGCUCACAUGGAAACUUUAGUCAAUGAUAGACUUUUACAAGACCGAACUACAACAGCAACCGAGAUCACAACUUCAUCCCCUCCUAGUACUUCUAAAGAAACCAUUGAAAGAAAAACACAAAGGAAAGGUUUGAAUGUGUCGGGUCCAGUGCAACCUUACCAUCCUCGUUUGAAGAACUUCUGGUAUCCUGUUGCUUUCUCAAGAGACCUGAAGGAGGACACAUUGAUUCCGAUUGACUGCUUCGAAGAACCUUGGGUGGUAUUCCGUGGGAAGGAUGGGAAACCGGGAUGUAUAAGGAACACAUGUGCCCAUAGAGCAUGCCCUCUCGACUUAGGCUCUGUAAACGAGGGGCGUGUACAAUGUCCCUACCAUGGGUGGGAAUACUCUACAGACGGGACAUGUGAAAAAAUGCCGUCAACUAAAUUUGUUAACGUGAAGAUAAAAUCACUUCCAUGCUUUGAGCAGGAGGGAAUGAUAUGGAUCUGGCCGGGCAACGAACCUCCUGCAGCCACAAUUCCUUCACUAGAACCACCUAAGGGAUUCCAAAUACACGCCGAGAUUGUCAUGGAACUACCAGUGGAGCAUGGACUACUACUAGACAACCUGCUGGACCUUGCGCAUGCACCCUUUACGCACACUUCCACAUUUGCAAAAGGGUGGAGUGUUCCAAGCUUGGUUAAAUUUUUGACCCCUUCAUCAGGUUUGGAAGGAUAUUGGGAUCCGUAUCCAAUAGAUAUGGAAUUUCGACCGCCUUGUAUGGUGUUGUCAACCAUCGGGAUUUCAAAACCGGGGAAACUGGAGGGCCAAAGCACGAAACAGUGUUCAACGCAUCUUCACCAACUACACGUCUGCUUACCGUCAUCAAGAAACAAGACGAGGCUAUUAUAUAGAAUGUCACUUGAUUUUGCUCCGGUUUUGCAAUACGUUCCUUUCAUGCACAUCCUGUGGAGGCAUUUUGCAGAGAAGGUACUAAAUGAGGAUCUACGGCUUGUACUUGGGCAACAAGAUAGGAUGAUCAACGGUGAAAAUGUAUGGAACAUGCCGGUAUCUUACGAUAAGCUCGGAGUAAGAUACCGAUUAUGGAGAACCGCAGUCGAAGAAGGAUCUAAAACAUUACCCUUCAGUAAAUAAAAUGAAAUACAAACUAAUUUUUGGAUUCAACUCAUGAUUUUCUUCAGGUUAUCAAUUAAUUUGAGAGAAAACACGACCCAAAUUAGACCUUUCCUUUGUACAGAGUCUUUAGUACAUUCACCCGUAAUCGAUUGAUGCCCACGAGGGUUUAUGUGCAUACAUUUCUUGCGAACGUGUAGUGAUAAAUAAAAUGUUAGAUGUGAGUUUAGUUGAGUUUUGGGUUUGUUAUCGCGGUUUGGAUUAGGAUUCAAAUGACUUGACAGUUGACACAAUAUGUGUAUUUUGUUAUAGUCUUUUGUUAUC